UUUGUUGGCAUUUUCCAACCAUAAAAUUUAGUCAGUUGCAAUCCAUAUCAUGUCAAAAUUAAGAAAUUUACACACAAUAAAUAUUUGAGAAAUAAUCUAGAAAUUAAACUCAUGAUCAAUAGUUCUUUUAUCCAUAGCUGUAAUGAGAGUUUUCUUCGCAUGAAGUUAUGAUGCAAUGAUCAAAGACCUGGUCCAAGCACCUUCAGUUUGGUGAAUUCUUUGCAGUAAAUCCCACAGAAGCCAUAACAAUUUGACACAGGAGUAGACAACAACAGACGAUGCAACAAGCAAGGCACAUGCAUCUGCUGAUCAAUUGUCCUCUCAUUUUCUGCUACCAAACUACUUUGACCUUCCCAUCCAUAACAUGUUUUCUUCAUGAAACAUAUCCCUUCUAAGGACAAAUUCAACCAAUUUUUUUU
rnacentral:misc_RNA from 1 species